UACGUAGGGUGCAAGCGUUGUCCGGAAUUAUUGGGCGUAAAGAGCUCGUAGGCGGUCUGUCGCGUCGAAUGUGAAAACCCGGGGCUCAACCCCGGGCCUGCAUUCGAUACGGGCAGACUAGAGUUCGGUAGGGGAGUCUGGAAUUCCUGGUGUAGCGGUGAAAUGCGCAGAUAUCAGGAGGAACACCGGUGGCGAAGGCGGCUUUCUGGGUCUUACCUGACGCUGAGGAACGAAAGCCAGGGGAGCGAACGGG
rnacentral:rRNA from 1 species